rnacentral:siRNA from 1 species
GUGCGGGUCUUGGAAGUUCUACA